ACGCUCGACACCUAAGGCAGCAGUGGGGAAUAUUGCACAAUGGGGGAAACCCUGAUGCAGCGACGCCGCGUGAGCGAAGAAGUAUUUCGGUAUGUAAAGCUCUAUCAGCAGGGAAGAAACUGACGGUACCUGACUAAGAAGCACCGGCUAAAUACGUGCAAGCAGCCGCGGUAAUCUGAGCGGGCUGGCAAGGC
rnacentral:rRNA from 1 species